AUGAAGAUAAGCCCUUACUCGGAAGAUGAUAUGCUUGGAGUUGAGCCACUCCAACUGCAUUUUCUUUUUGAGCUUAAAAAACAGAUGUCGUGUGCACUUCAGCUAACCAAUGGGACAGAUUCUUACAUUGCUUUCAACAUUGAAAAUACGAGUCCCCUAUCAUACUUCACACAGCCGCAGAAAGGUAUUGUGCCGCCACGAUCCAUGUGGUGUGUUGAGAUAACAAUGCAGUUGCAGGGCAAGGCUCCGGGAUACAUGCGUCGUGCCAAUGAACUUAUUGUAUGGAGCACCAAAGCAAAUGAUUGCCUUGUAGUUGAGGAUAUAACUACAAACAUGUUCAUUAAUGAGGCGGUCAACGUGGUUGAUGACGUGAAUUUGGAUGUGGUUUUUGUUGUCUAUGAGCCACAGGAAGCAAGUAAGGAAACCAGUGUGACAAUCCGACCUUUAAUAGAGUGUUGA
rnacentral:rRNA from 1 species